rnacentral:rRNA from 1 species
GACGAACGCUGGCGGCGUGCUUAACACAUGCAAGUCACGGGGGCUCGCAAGAGCAACCGGCGAACGGGUGCGUAACACGUGAGCAACCUACCGAUUUGUGGGGGAUAGCUGUCCUAACGGGCAGGUAAUACCGCAUACGCUUGUACGGCCUCCUGGCCUAACAAGGAAACCUCCGGGGCAAAUCGAGGGGCUCGCGGCCUAUCAGCUAGUUGGCGAGGUCACGGCUCACCAAGGCGACGACGGGUAGCUGGUCUGAGAGGAUGGCCAGCCACAUUGGGACUGAGAAACGGCCCAGACUCCUACGGGAGGCAGCAGUGGGGAAUCUUGCGCAAUGGACGAAAGUCUGACGCAGCGACGCCGCGUGGGGAUGACGGCUUCGGUUGUAA